ACAAUGGGCGCAAGCCUGAUGGAGCAACACCGCGUGAGUGAAGAAGGGUUUCGGCUCGUAAAGCUCUGUUGUUAAAGAAGAACACGUAUGAGAGUAACUGUUCAUACGUUGACGGUAUUUAACCAGAAAGUCACGGCUAACUACGUGCCAGCAGCCGCGGUAAUACGUAGGUGGCAACGUUAUCCGGAUUUAUUGGGCGUAAAGAGAGUGCAGGCGGUUUUCUAAGUCUGAUGUGAAAGCCUUCGGCUUAGCCGGAGAAGUGCAUCGGAAACUGGAUAACUUGAGUGCAGAAGAGGGUAGUGGAACUCCAUGUGUAGCGGUGGAAUGCGUAGAUAUAUGGAAGAACACCAGUGGCGAAGGCGGCUACCUGGUCUGCAACUGACGCUGAGACUCGAAAGCAUGGGUAGCGAACAGGAUUAGAUACCCUGGUAG
rnacentral:rRNA from 1 species